rnacentral:rRNA from 1 species
UAUUUGGUCGUAGACCCGAAACCAGGUGAUCUACCCUUGGUCAGGUUGAAGUUCAGGUAACACUGAAUGGAGGACCGAACCGACUUACGUUGAAAAGUGAGCGGAUGAACUGAGGGUAGCGGAGAAAUUCCAAUCGAACCUGGAGAUAGCUGGUUCUCUCCGAAAUAGCUUUAGGGCUAGCCUCAAGUGAUGAUUAUUGGAGGUAGAGCACUGUUUGGACGAGGGGCCCCUCUCGGGUUACCGAAUUCAGACAAACUCCGAAUGCCAAUUAAUUUAACUUGGGAGUCAGAACAUGGGUGAUAAGGUCCGUGUUCGAAAGGGAAACAGCCCAGACCACCAGCUAAGGUCCCAAAAUAUAUGUUAAGUGGAAAAGGAUGUGGCGUUGCCCAGACAACUAGGAUGUUGGCUUAGAAGCAGCCAUCAUUUAAAGAGUGCGUAAUAGCUCACUAGUCGAGUGACACUGCGCCGAAAAUGUACCGGGGCUAAACAUAUUACCGAAGCUGUGGAUUGUCCUUUGGACAAUGGUAGGAGAGCGUUCUAAGGGCGUUGAAGCAUGAUCGUAAGGACAUGUGGAGCGCUUAGAAGUGAGAAUGCCGGUGUGAGUAGCGAAAGACGGGUGAGAAUCCCGUCCACCGAUUGACUAAGGUUUCCAGAGGAAGGCUCGUCCGCUCUGGGUUAGUCGGGUCCUAAGCUGAGGCCGACAGGCGUAGGCGAUGGAUAACAGGUUGAUAUUCCUGUACCACCUAUAAUCGUUUUAAUCGAUGGGGGGACGCAGUAGGAUAGGCGAAGCGUGCGAUUGGAUUGCACGUCUAAGCAGUAAGGCUGAGUAUUAGGCAAAUCCGGUACUCAUUAAGGCUGAGCUGUGAUGGGGAGAAGACAUUGUGUCUUCGAGUCGUUGAUUUCACACUGCCGAGAAAAGCCUCUAGAUAGAAAAUAGGUGCCCGUACCGCAAACCGACACAGGUAGUCAAGAUGAGAAUUCUAAGGUGAGCGAGCGAACUCUCGUUAAGGAACUCGGCAAAAUGACCCCGUAACUUCGGGAGAAGGGGUGCUCUUUAGGGUUAACGCCCAGAAGAGCCGCAGUGAAUAGGCCCAAGCGACUGUUUAUCAAAAACACAGGUCUCUGCUAAACCGUAAGGUGAUGUAUAGGGGCUGACGCCUGCCCGGUGCUGGAAGGUUAAGAGGAGUGGUUAGCUUCUGCGAAGCUACGAAUCGAAGCCCCAGUAAACGGCGGCCGUAACUAUAACGGUCCUAAGGUAGCGAAAUUCCUUGUCGGGUAAGUUCCGACCCGCACGAAAGGCGUAACGAUUUGGGCACUGUCUCAACGAGAGACUCGGUGAAAUCAUAGUACCUGUGAAGAUGCAGGUUACCCGCGACAGGACGGAAAGACCCCGUGGAGCUUUACUGUAGCCUGAUAUUGAAAUUCGGCACAGCUUGUACAGGAUAGGUAGGAGCCUUUGAAACGUGAGCGCUAGCUUACGUGGAGGCGCUGGUGGGAUACUACCCUAGCUGUGUUGGCUUUCUAACCCGCACCACUUAUCGUGGUGGGAGACAGUGUCAGGCGGGCAGUUUGACUGGGGCGGUCGCCUCCUAAAAGGUAACGGAGGCGCUCAAAGGUUCCCUCAGAAUGGUUGGAAAUCAUUCAUAGAGUGUAAAGGCAUAAGGGAGCUUGACUGCGAGACCUACAAGUCGAGCAGGGUCGAAAGACGGACUUAGUGAUCCGGUGGUUCCGCAUGGAAGGGCCAUCGCUCAACGGAUAAAAGCUACCCCGGGGAUAACAGGCUUAUCUCCCCCAAGAGUUCACAUCGACGGGGAGGUUUGGCACCUCGAUGUCGGCUCAUCGCAUCCUGGGGCUGUAGUCGGUCCCAAGGGUUGGGCUGUUCGCCCAUUAAAGCGGUACGCGAGCUGGGUUCAGAACGUCGUGAGACAGUUCGGUCCCUAUCCGUCG